rnacentral:rRNA from 1 species
GACGAACGCUGGCGGCGUGCUUAACACAUGCAAGUCGAACGGAAAGGCCCUGCUUUUGUGGGGUGCUCGAGUGGCGAACGGGUGAGUAACACGUGAGUAACCUGCCCUUGACUUUGGGAUAACUUCAGGAAACUGGGGCUAAUAUCGGAUAGGAGCUCCUGCUGCAUGGUGGGGGUUGGAAAGUUUCGGCGGUUGGGGAUGGACUCGCGGCUUAUCAGCUUGUUGGUGGGGUAGUGGCUUACCAAGGCUUUGACGGGUAGCCGGCCUGAGAGGGUGACCGGCCACAUGGGGACUGAGAGACGGCCCAGAGUCCAACGGGAGGCAGCGGGGGGGAAUAUUGCACAAUGGGCGGAAGCCUGAUGCAACAACGCCGCGUGCGGGAUGACGGCCUUCGGGUUAUAAACCGCUUUCGCCUGUGACGAAGCGGGAGUGACGGUAAUGGGUAAAGAAGCACCGGCUAACUACGUG